rnacentral:lncRNA from 1 species
CUUUCCAAUAGGUGAUAUAUUUUUAUUUUUGUUUUGUGAUGAUUUGGUUUGGCCAGAUUUUCUGAGUGCUGUCCUGAGGCUCUAUGGGGUUGGUUUGGGUUAGUGAACUGAGCCUCAGAACCAGCUGGCUGAGUGCUGUCCUGAGGCUCUAUGGGGUUGGUUUGGGUUAGUGAACUGAGCCUCAGAACCAGCUGGCUGAGGGGACUCUUCUCUUGUUUCAUCUCUUGACAUUGUAGAGCUGUGUGAUGGAAUGUUUUGGGGUCACUUGUUUUUAGAUGGUGGUAAAAUGUGAUUGCUCUUUUUUUCUAUUCGAAUGAGGAGGGGGUAUUGGCCCAAUUCUGCUCUACAUUCGUUAUUUUGAGUUUUUCUUUGCACUUGCAAUACAGUCUUGCAAAAGUCUUCCCUGUGGCUCAGUUGGUAGAGCAUGGUGUUUGCAACUUCAGGGUUGUGGGUUUGAUUUCCACGGGGGGGCCAGUAUAAAACAAAAACAAAAAAGCAUGAAAUGAAAUGUAUGUAUUCGCUACUGUAAGUCGCUCUGGAUAAGAGUGUCUGCUAAAUGACUAAAAUGUAAAUGUCUAAAAUGUUUUUAAAAAAAAACUCUGCAUGCAGUAUUUCAAUUGGAUGUUUGUCCCAUUUGGUGAAUUCAUUAGUAGAGAGUGGACCCCAUACUUCACUGCCAUAUAGAGCAACUGGUUCUAUUACCGAUUGGAACAUUUUGAGCCAGAUUCUAAUUGGAAUUUCGAUUUUAAUGUUCCUUUUAAUAGCAUAGAAUGCUCUUCUUGCUUUGUCUCUCAGCUCGUUCACAGCCCUGUGAAAGCUUCCUGUGUUGCUGAUAUUUAGUCCCAGAUACGUGUAGUUUGUGGUGUGUUCUAAUAGAACUGUGUCCAAAUAGAAUUUAUAUUUGUCAUCCUGAUUUCCAGACCUUUUUUGGAAUAUCAUUAUAUUGGUUUUUUUUCGGUUAAUGGUCAGAGCCCAGGUCAGACAGAACCUGUGAAGAUGAUCUAGGUGCUGCUGUAACCCCUCUUUAGUGGGAGACAACAGCACCAGGUCAUCUGUCUACAGCAGACCCUCCUUAGUGGGAGACAGCAGACCCUCCUUAGUGGGAGACAGCAGCACCAGGUCAUCUGUCUACAGCAGACCCUCCUUAGUGGGAGACAGCAGCACCAGGUCAUCUGUCUACAGCAGACCCUCCUUAGUGGGAGACAGCAGCACCAGGUCAUCUGUCUACAGCAGACCCUCCUUAGUGGGAGACAGCAGCACCAGGUCAUCUGUCUACAGCAGACCCUCCUUAGUGGGAGACUGCAGCACCAGGUCAUCUGUCUACAGCAGACCCUCCUUAGUGGGAGACAGCAGUACCAGGUAAUCUGUCUACA